ACACCCGUUCCCAUACCGAACACGGAAGUUAAGCCCUCCAGCGCCGAUGGUACUGCUAACGCGGGAGAGUAGGUCGCUGCCAGGA
rnacentral:rRNA from 1 species